rnacentral:rRNA from 1 species
UACGAAGGGUGCUAGCGUUGUUCGGAAUUACUGGGCGUAAAGCGCGCGUAGGCGGUGAUGCAAGUCAGGGGUGAAAUCCCGGAGCUUAACUCCGGAACUGCCUUUGAAACUGCAUUGCUGGAGUGUGUGAGGGGAUAGCGGAAUUCCUAAUGUAGAGGUGAAAUUCGUAGAUAUUAGGAGGAACACCGGUGGCGAAGGCGGCUAUCUGGCACACAACUGACGCUGAGGCGCGAAAGCGUGGGGAUCAAACAGG